rnacentral:ncRNA from 1 species
ACAAGGAAGGGCGUAGUAAUCGACGAAAUGUUUCGGGGAGUUGAAAAUAAGCAUAGAUUCGAAGAUUUCCAAAUAGGGCAACCUUUCGAACUGCUGCUAAAUCCAUGGGCAGGCAAGAGACAACCUGGUGAACUGAAACAUCUUAUAACCAGAGGAAAUAUAUAUACAUA